rnacentral:rRNA from 1 species
CCUACGGGUGGCAGCAGUGAGGAAUAUUGGUCAAUGGGCGCGAGCCUGAACCAGCCAAGUAGCGUGAGGGAUGACUGCCCUACGGGUUGUAAACUUCUUUUAUAAAGGAAUAAAGUGAGGCACGUGUGCCUUUUUGUAUGUACUUUAUGAAUAAGGAUCGGCUAACUCCGGUCCAGCAGCCGCGGUAAUACGGAGGAUCCGAGCGUUUUCCGGCUUUAUUUGGUUUAAAGGGAGCGGAGAUGGGUUGUUAAGUCAGUUGUGAAAGUGUGCGGCUCAACCGUAAAAUUGCAAGUGAUACUGGCAGUCUUGAGUACAGUAGAGGUAGGCGGAAUUCGUGGUGUAGCGGUGAAAUGCUUAGAUAUCACGAAGAACUCCGAUUGCGAAGGCAGCUUACUAAACUGCCACUGACAUUGAUGCUCGAAAGUGUGGGUAUCAAACAGGAUUAGAUACCCCAGUAGUC